ensembl:lncRNA
AGACUGCUUUAUGAUUUAAUGAAUCUCACCAAUAUCUCCUCUGUGGUGCCAGUUAGCUCUGAAGACCCCUGGUCACGCAACGAUGUGCUCAUUCUGUCAAUUAUUUCAGAGAACUGUUGGGCGAGACCCUUUCUGUGAAGCCCGAGAAAGACGGCCCUUCCCACACAAAAGAAACCAGGGCAAGGCAGUAGCAAAAUUCGUUGUAUGGCCAUUAUCUGAAGCCUGGACCAGAAAGAUAAUGACCCUAGCUUUACAAGGCAGGUGGGAGCGAUCAAUUAUGCCCCCACAACUGACAGCACAGCUCUCUUCCAUGAGCAGCAGGAGUGCUGGAGUUAACCUGGAUUUCAGAACCAGUAGACACCCACUGUGCCCACUUGGGCCUCUCCAGGAGCAGAGUCUCUUGUGACAACAGGCAGGGAGGAUUCUCCCAGGGUCUCCGAGGAGCAGCAUGAGGAGAAUUCAUGGAAACCAGAGCCGGAGAGAAGAGAGGCAAGGUGUCCUUCUCUGGUUCAUAGGCAAGAGUUCAGGAACAGAGUACCUGCUUCUAGCUGAGUCGACAGCCACUCCCACCGUGUGUAUAUGAACUCUGCUGGGGUCUCUAAUCUGGAUCAUAGUCACUUUCUGUCUAUCAUUUCCAACUGGAAGGAGAAGACACCCAGCUCCAUCUAUAGUGACACAAGAGGCAGGCCAGGCAUGGUGUGGAGGACAAGACUAAGUAGCCUCAAAACACACACACACAUGCAUUUACAUGCAUACACACAUGUAUGACACAUAUUCACAUGCAUAUGCACCUGUACACCAAGAAAACUUGUGCACACAUGCAUGCACACACAUAAACAUACACACAUGAAACACACUGAUAAUUUUAUGAAUACACAUAUUUAUCAUGAGUGUACUUAGUUACACACAUGUGGUAUGUUUGCAUACACACACACACACACACACACACAUAUAUAUAUAUAUAUACAUACAUACAUACAUACAUACAUACAUACAUACAUACAUACAUACACAAUAUAUAUAUUGCUAGCUUUGUGGCAUCUGGUUUCUGUAUCCACCCUAGAAAGAGUCAGCCAUUUGGUGCCCAUCCCUAAAGCUUUUCUUUGAAAACACAUGAUUGAAAGUAAGCAGGUAUCUAGGUCAGUAAAAUAUCUGCCACACCUAUUAGUUUGCCUCUCUGUUGCUGUGAUUAAAAACACUCUAGACAUAACCCAAUCACAAAAGAACACACAUGAUAUGCACUCACUGAUAAGUAGAUAUUAGCCCAGAAAUUUAGAAUACCCAAGAUACAAUUUGCAAAAACACAUGAAACUCAAGAAGAAGGAAGACCAAAGUGUGGAUACUUUGUUCCUUCUUAGAAUGGGGAACAAAAUACCCAUAGAUGGAGUUACAAGACAAAGUUUGGAGCAGAGCCUGAAGGAAUGACCAUCCAGAGACUGCCCCACUUGGGAAUCCACCCCAUUAACAACCACCAAACCCAGACACUAGGCAGAUGCCAGCAAGAUUUUGCUGACAGGACCCUGAUAUACCUCUCUCUUGUGAGGCUCUGCCAGUGCCUGGCAAAUACAGAAGUGGAUGCUCACAGUCAUCCAUUGGACGGAGCACAAGGUCCCCAAUGAAGGAGCCAGAAAAAUACCCAGGCAACUGAAGGGGACUGAAGCCCCAUAGAAGGAACAUCAAUAUGAACUAACCAGUACCCUCAGAGCUCCUUGGAACUAUACCACAAAUCAAAGAAAACAUAUGAUGCAACUUGUGGCUCUAGCUAUAUUUGUAGCAGAGGAUGGCCUAGUCAGUCAUCAAUGGGAGGAGAGGCCCUUGGUCCUGUGAAGGCUCUAUGCCCCAGUAUAGGGGAAUGCCAGGACCAGGAAUGGGAGUAGGUGGGUUGGGGACAAGGGGGAGGGGGGAGUGGAUAGGGGAUUUUCGGAGGGGAAACUAGGAAAGGGGAUAACAUUUGAAAUGUAAAUAAAGAAAAUAAUAAAAAAGAAAAAAAGUAAUAA